GACGAACGCUGGCGGCGCGCUUAACACAUGCAAGUCGAGCGAGAACCAGGGCUUCGGCCCUGGGGACAGCGGCGAACGGGUGAGUAACACGUGGAUACCCUGCCCUCGGCACCGGGAUAGCCCGGGGAAACCCGGAUUAAUACCGGAUGGCCCUUCCGGCUUUCGAGCUGGCCGGGAAAGGUAGCUUCGGCCUCCGGCCGAGGAUGGGUCCGCGGCGGAUUAGCUAGUUGGUGGGGGAACGGCCCACCAAGGCGACGAUCCGUAGCUGGUCUGAGAGGACGAUCAGCCACACUGGGACUGAGACACGGCCCAGACUCCUAGGGGAGGCAGCAGUGGGGAAUCUUGCGCAAUGGGCGAAAGCCUGACGCAGCGACGCCGCGUGAGGGAGGAAGGCCUUCGGGUUGUAAACCUCUUUUAAGAGAGAAGAAGCUACUCGGGUUAAUAGCCCAGAGGGUGACGGUAUCUCUUGAAUAAGCCCCGGCUAACUACGUGCCAGCCGCCGCAGUAAGAC
rnacentral:rRNA from 1 species